CACGUAGGGGCCAAGCGUUGUCCGGAUUUAUUGGGCGUAAAGAGCUCGUAGGUGGCCUGUCGCGUCGGCUGUGAAAACUCGGGGCUCAACUCCGAGCUUGCAGUCGAUACGGGCAGGCUAGAGUUCGGCAGGGGAGACUGGAAUUCCUGGUGGUAGCGGUGAAAUGCGCAGAGUAUCAAGGAGGAACACCGAUGGCGAAGGCAGGUCUC
rnacentral:rRNA from 1 species